CUGGAUGGAGCAACAAGAGUCUGGGCUAUUAACACAGGUUUGAGUCAGGCUGACCGGAGCUGUAAAGCCCUUCUCGUUCUCACUGUGUGUUCUUUUCAGUUCUGUCUUCCUGAGGCUGCUGUUUCUGGGCAUGGCCAGGGGAUCUUCAGACUUUACAAACCAGUUGUGCAGAGCCAGGCAUUUCAAUAAGGAACAAAAUGCUGAGUAACAACAUGAAGUCAGAGUGUUGCUUGCCAAGAGCUGGGAGGCCUGGGUGGUUUCCCAAUCUUAAAGAAGCAGAAGGAUAUUAAAGUGAGCCUCCCAAAGGAAAACGUGGAUCUACUUACCAACGCAGAAAAUGAUACACACGGAUUCGAUUUAGGCACGCUACAUUCAAAUGACUUGGAAGAGCAGGUUCUCUGAGCCAGGAUACUAAAGUCCCUGUUUAGGAAAGAGCCACGUUGUAUGUUUACCCUACCACAAAGAUACAGUCAUGUGCCUGGGAAAGAUUGAUGCCAGCUCCAGAAAGGCAUCCGAAUGGUCUAAGUAAUGCCAUCCAUCUGUCAGUAAUAGAUUCAGAAAUGGAAUUCUGGAGGAAAGUGGCUCUGGGAAUUGAACAGUGGCUCAGUGAUGUUGGGGCCACCAAGUCUGCAAUUCUCCCUACCUGUUCUUCAUGGUUGUAAGAUGACUGCUGCAAUUCUCGGCAUCAUGUGCAUGUUAAUGUCAGGAGGAAGAAAGGAAGAGGGAGCACUGGGAUGUUACAUUCAUUUUGUCAGGAAAAGCAAAGCCUUUCCAGACAGCUCCGAAACUUGCUUACCUCUCAUUGGCCAGCACCAUCACUUGACCACUUGUCCACUCCUAGCUGCAAGGAAAGUGGCAAAGUAGAAGGUAUUUGAGAAUGUCUGCUGGGUUAGCCAAAACAAUAGUGACUUCUACACCCAAUUUUCUGGGCACUGCAGAAGUAUCCUUGAGUCCUAUGUGAUCAGAGGGAGAGCAAACCUCAAUAAUGAAACAGAUUCAAUUUCCAUCACCCAGUGAGACACCAUGGGAUUAGAAUAAAUUUUUAAAAAAACAAAUUGAAAAAAAUGCAUUUUUAAAACAACAAAAUCAGAAAGGAUGAAAGGUGAUAUUUCUAGCAUAUCAGUUUGUGGUGGUAAAUUAAUUACCUUAUACAAAGGCCUCAGUGACUUUCUUCUCCUUACCUAACGAAUCAUCUUUAAAAUAAGUAAAAUAAAGAAACAAGAGCAGCAGCAGAUGCUUCCUAAAAAGAAGUUACCAAAUCUGUUCACCACAAACCUGAGAAUUCAACUGUGGACAUUUGGACACCAGCAAUGAACAUGAAACUCAGCUUAUGAGGCAUAUUUGGCUAAAGGUCAAGGUGACUUAAAGUUCAUCAUAGGACAUCUACAAUUUGCAAAGCAGGUGACUGGAUAUGGACUCCUUCCAAGUCUCAUUUAAUUGGAUAAUGCCUACGUUUUAAGUAUCAGAAAGGGACCAUAAAGGUGCCAGCCUAAGGAACACGUAAAACGUGGGAACAGACAAACAAGCUGCUGCCUAUUACAGAGAUAGAUAAUUAACUUUGGACCAUUACAUGCAAUUCAUCAGCUUAUCUUUUUCAAACUUUAUAUAAGAAGUCAUUUCCCAAUGGUAACCACUUGCCAGCUGCAACUUUGACGCAUAUUAUCAGGAUAGGUGAGAUUGAUGGGGGCCCUUUGAACUCUUCCCAGGGAAUUAUCUUUAUAAUGUUACAGUUUUCUCUAUAGCAUGGUCAUAUUGUUAACAUUGGUUAUAAGGUC
rnacentral:lncRNA from 1 species